rnacentral:tRNA from 1 species
GCGGCCGUGCAUCGGCGCCUUGACGGUGCCGCCCGCGCCGGCGUGGUCGAGGUCGACGUCGAACGGAUCGGGCGGUUCGAUCGCGACCUGCCGCCC